GGGAGGUGGGGGCCUUGCUACCUGUGGUUGCUAUGCUACUACAGUUCAGCCCCGACGAGGAAUGAUUGUUAUAACCCUGAUAGUAAAAUACUCUCUGUAAAGAAAUAUAAGAUCGUUUAGGUCACUAAUAAAGGGAGUACCAAUUAUGCCCUCUGAAGGAGAGAAGUUGACAUACUUAACCUUGGCAGCUCAAUAAAUGCCAACAUGGCGUCCUCUCAAAUGUCGCUCCGCCGCCAGCUACAGCAUUGUCAGAUGGUGGAUCGACACCAAACUCAUUCUUUGGAAGAUUCACAUUCUAGUAGCAGUGCAAGAUCUUGGUUUUGAUGAUCCUCCUUUUACAGAGGUAGAUACACAUUCACGGGGUGAUCCAAAAUCCCAGCGGUCUUACUGAUUGUGAAAGGUGGCUCUUUUGUUUGCAUGCUUCUCAGCUAUUCUUACCUUUUAUAAAGUACUGUAUAUUAUAAAAAUAGAAAACCAUAACUACAUAUAUUAUUUUUGAUUUCUCGCUCUGGGUAUUUAGAUUCAAAGACAACGAGACACUGGCUUGAUCCUUCCUCAGUUGGGGAAGCUCUUCGUCCUGGUGACCGUUCAUGUUUUUUGUAGAAAAUGUCGUACACCUAUGAGCAUUAUAGAAUCAUGCUAAUUUGAAAUUUUUGGAUUUAGUGACCUAAGUGUGUUUUCUAGAA